rnacentral:rRNA from 1 species
CCAAUAGCGUAUAUUAAAGUUGUUGCAGUUAAAAAGCUCGUAGUUGAAUUUCGGGAUCAAUAUAUUGGUCGUGCCUUUGGUAUGCACUGGUAUCAUUGAUUUCUACCUUCUGACGAACUAUGAUGUCAUUAAUUUGGUGUCAUGGGGAAUCAGGACUGUUACUUUGAAAAAAUUAGAGUGUUUAAAGCAGGCACACGCUUGAAUACAUUAGCAUGGAAUAAUGAAAUAGGACGUUUGACCCUAUUUUGUUGGUUUCUAGGAUCGACGUAAUGAUUAAUAGGGAUAGUUGGGGGCAUUAGUAUUCAAUUGUCAGAGGUGAAAUUCUUGGAUUUAUUGAAGACUAACUACUGCGAAAGCAUUUGCCAAGGAUGUUUUCAUUAAUCAAGAACGAAAGUUAGGGGAUCGAAGACGAUCAGAUACCGUCGUAGUCUUAACCAUAAACUAUGCCGACUAGGGAUCGGAUGAUGUUAAUUUUAUAAUGACUCAUUCGGCGCCUUACG